AGUAAAAGUCGUAACAAGGUUUCCGUAGGUGAACCUGCGGAAGGAUCAUUAUUGAAUUUCAAGAGGGAUUGGUUGUUGCUGGCUUUUCGAAGUAAUGUGCACACCGUCUCCUCUUAGUUCUCACAUUCACCUGUGCACCUCUUGUAGACCCGAGACAAACUUAUCGAGGAAACUCGGAUGUGAGGGUUGCGGGCUUCCUCAGAAGUCGGCUUCCCUCUACUGACUCGCGUGUCUAUGUCUUUACAAACCCUUUAUAAAAAAUGUUAACAGAAUGUCAUACAACGGUUCGCCCUAAAAAAGUGAGCUUUAAAUUAAUACAACUUUCAACAACGGAUCUCUUGGCUCUCGCAUCGAUGAAGAACGCAGCGAAAUGCGAUAAGUAAUGUGAAUUGCAGAAUUCAGUGAAUCAUCGAAUCUUUGAACGCACCUUGCGCUCCUUGGUAUUCCGAGGAGCAUGCCUGUUUGAGUGUCAUUAAAUUCUCAACCUUCCUUGUCUUUAUUGAUGAGGUAGUGCUUGGACGUGGGGGUUGCGGGCUUCCUCAGAAGUCGGCUCUCCUUAAAUGCAUUAGCGGAACCUUUGUGGACCGUCUAUUGGUGUGAUAAUUAUCUACGCCAUCGACGCGGACGCUGUUAUAUGGGGUUCAGCUUCUAACCAUCUCGCAAGAGAUAACAACUUAAUUGACAUUUUGACCUCAAAUCAGGUAGGACUACCCGCUGAACUUAAGCAUAUCAAUAAGCGGAGGA
rnacentral:rRNA from 1 species